GACGAACGCUGGCGGCGUGCUUAACACAUGCAAGUCGAACGAUGAAGCCAGCUUGCUGGUGGAUUAGUGGCGCACGGGUGCGUAACACGUGGGUGAUCUGCCCCAAACUUUGGGAUAGGCCUGGGAAACUGGGUCUAAUACCGAAUAUGACCGAUACUCGCAUGGGUGUUGGUGGAAAGCUCCGGCGGUUUGGGAUGGGCCCGCGGCCUAUCAGCUUGUUGGUGGGGUAAUGGCCUACCAAGGCGACGACGGGUAGCCGGCCUGAGAGGGCGACCGGCCACACUGGGACUGAGACACGGCCCAGACUCCUACGGGAGGCAGCAGUGGGGAAUAUUGCACAAUGGGCGCAAGCCUGAUGCAGCGACGCCGCGUGAGGGAUGACGGCCUUCGGGUUGUAAACCUCUUUCACCAGGGACGAAGCGAAAGUGACGGUACCUGGAGAAGAAGCACCGGCCAACUACGUG
rnacentral:rRNA from 1 species